rnacentral:rRNA from 1 species
GACGAACCGUGCGAACGUUAUUCGGAAUCACUGGGCUUAAAGGGCGCGUAGGCGGGUCGGUAAGUCAGGGGUGAAAUCCCACGGCCCAACCGUGGAAGUGCCUCUGAUACUGCCGGCCUCGAGGGGGAUAGGGGCGUGCGGAACUCAGGGUGGAGCGGUGAAAUGCGUAGAUAUCCUGAGGAACACCGGUGGCGAAGGCGGCUUCCUGGACCGACACUGACGCUGAGGCGCGAAAGCUAGGGGAGCAAACGGG